ACGCUCGACACCUACGGGAGCAGCAGUGGGGAAUAUUGCACAAUGGGGGAAACCCUGAUGCAGCGACGCCGCGUGAAGGAAGAAGUAUUUCGGUAUGUAAACUUCUAUCAGCAGGGAAGAAGAAAGUGACGGUACCUGACUAAGAAGCCCCGGCUAACUACGUGCCAACAGCCGCGGUAAUCUGAGCGGGCUGGCAAGGC
rnacentral:rRNA from 1 species